rnacentral:rRNA from 1 species
UCCUACGGGGGGCAGCAGUCGAGAAUCAUUCACAAUGGGGGAAACCCUGAUGAUGCGACGCCGCGUGAGUGAAGAAGUAUUUCGGUAUGUAAAGCUCUAUCAGCAGGGAAGAUAAUGACGGUACCUGACUAAGAAGCCCCGGCUAACUACGUGCCAGCAGCCGCGGUAAUACGUAGGGGGCAAGCGUUAUCCGGAUUUACUGGGUGUAAAGGGAGCGUAGGUGGCAGGGCAAGUCAGAUGUGAAAACCCGGGGCUCAACUCCGGGAGUGCAUUUGAAACUGUCCAGCUAGAGUGCAGGAGAGGUA